rnacentral:lncRNA from 1 species
ACAGGUCCAAGAUCCAUAUGGAAAGAACCGCCCUAAAGAAGAACCGCGGGAUGACUCAGUUCCUCAUGUGUCCCGCCUCCAGUGUCUCUACCCACUGAGAAAUUCUAGCUGACCCAGGAUUGAGUAACUUCUGUCACCAAAAAGAAGAAAUCCUGUGACUGGCAGCCUUGUAGGUUGGGAGGGAAGUUCUCUGAAGGCAGGGAUGGUAGACACACAAAACUAGAUGUCCUCAAAGCUGGUACUGAACACGCCCUCUCUGUUUGGAGCAACGUCUUCUCCAGCAGUUUCCAUCAGGGUUAAAAGUUCUAAAAGAAGCCAGGCAGUGAUGGCCACACCUUUGAUCCCAGCACUAGUGAAGCAGAGGCAGGAGGAUCUCUAUGAAUUCAAGGCAAGCCUGGUCUACAGAGCGAGUUCCAGGACAGCAAAAACCCUGUCCAAAACAAAACAAAACAAACAAGCAAAAGUUCUAAAAGAAAGUAUGGUGUGUGGCAGGAUCCUACAGGUUAGUAUCUCUAUUGAAACUCUAUUCAAUUUCUAGACCAAGAGAGGAGACUUCUGCUGUGGCUGCUUUGUUGAAUACAGACGCCUAGAAGAUGCAGGAGACUGCACUGGGUGCCCUUUGGACCAGUUAGACCUCUGAACAGGACAUGUGCCAUUGUGAAUCUCAACCUAAGAGAGGCUGACAGGCCAGGAUUGUUGUUCUAGUUAUUUUUGCAUCACUGCAACAGGAUGUCAGACAGGAACAACCCGAAGAAGGAUAGGUUCAUUUUGGCUCGUGGUUUGAGAUGGUUAGGUCCCCACGGGCUAGGUCCGAGAUUGCUUGCCCUUGGGCUUGGUGGCAGAAGCAUUGGACUCGGGAGUUUCUUUACCUCACAGCAGACAGGAAACAAAGUAAAAAGCCAUUCUCCUGGGGCCUCUUUAACCUAGUCAGGCCCCACCUGCUUCAAUUUUGCCAAACUCCCAAAAUACUACCACUGCCUAGGGACCAAACCUGAAGUGCAUGAGUUUAUGGGGACUUUGCACAUCCAAACCAUGGCACUUAUUGUCCCUUAAAAGCUCAAUGUCUCUGGUGCUAGAGAGAUGGCUCAGCAGUUAAGAGCAUGGAUUGUUCUUCCAGAGGUCCUGAGUUCAAUCCCAGUUACCACAUGGCCCCUCUCAACCAUCUGUAAUGUGCUCUAAUUCCCUCUUCUGGCAUGUAGGUGUCCAUGCAGAUAGAGCACUCAUUUACAUUUAAAAAAUUCAAACAUCUCAUUCUUGCACCAGAUUUGUAUCCUGGGCAAGACAGAAAAAACUUCCUUCUCCCUUCCUAGGUCCUGAGGCAAGCCCAAAAAUUAUACAAAAUUAAAGUAUGGGAAAUAAAUUAAAUUAAAGAAUAGGAAACAGUAGGAUGUGGUGACACCUGGAUAUCAACAUUUAAGAGAUGGAGACAGGAGGUUCAGGAGUUCAGAGCCAGCCUGAGCUAUAUGAGAUCCUGUCUCAAGCAAAAAGAAAAAAAUUAUUCAAAUUUUUUACACAUUCAUGGGAGAAAUCAUAAAGCCCAAAAGUUAAUAUAGUUGAUGGAUUUUUUUUUAAAUGAGACAGGAUCUCAUGUAUCCCAGGCUAGCCUCAUUUUUUAAUGAGACAGGAUCUCAUGUAUCCCAGGCUAGCCUCAUUUUUUUAAUGAGACAAGAUCUCAUGUAUCCCAGGCUAGCCUCAAACUCACUAUUUGUAGCCAGGAAUGACUUUGAGUGACAGUGUGAAUCAUCAUACCAACUUGUAUUUGGUGCUGGCAAUUGAAUCCAGGGCUUUGUAUAUACUACUUGAGCACUCUGUGCUAACUGAGCUGCAUUCUCAGCCUUCAUUCAUUCAUUCAUUCAUUCAUUCAUCUGCUUUUCAGACCAAGUCACUAAGUAGCCCAGGCUGGCCUCAGAUUCACAAUCAUCCUGCCUCCAUCUCCCAAGUAUUGAGAGCAUAGGUUAAGAACCUCCCGAUCCAGUUGAUAAAUUCAGUACAACUAAUAACCAACUCUAGGAUUAGGACAAAACAAGGGAAGUAAGGAAGAGGGCCCUGUGGGACAGUGACUAGACAGUGACUAUUAUCUCAGUAGGGAGAGACCAGCGGAACACAGGUUGAUCUGCGUUCGUCUCUUUGGUGUCAGCUAUCCACGUCUGGAAAGAAGACUGUUCUCAUCCUGCCACCAGCAGGGACUCACGAGAGAGACGGUCAUAGGAUGCUUUUAGGCAGGAAGGGAAAAAUCAGCUUUUCCUGAAUUUACUGUAUCUCAAGUGCUUUCAGCUUCAAAAAAUUGAUUUUCUAAACUAACAAAAAAAAAGUUUUAGGGCUGGAGAGACAGCUGAGCAGUUCUUCACUUCUGUUGCCCCUGACACAGACUUGAGCUCCAUUCCCAGCAGCACAGCAGGUGGUUCACAGCCACCUAUAACUCUAGCUUCCACAGGCAUCCACACUCAUGUGGCACACAUUCACACAAACACACACAGGUACACAUAACUUUAAAAAUAACAAAAAAUAAAAUUCAAAGUACUGAAGUUGAAAGAAAAUUAAAUUCAAGGUCCAUGACUCACGCGGCUUGCUAGUUAGGAGGGCUUUUUGAGCCAAGAGCAAAGAACAAAGGCUGUUGCUAUUAAGUCAUUCCAGGAACUGGCUAUCCAUAAAGAUAGAGGCAUACAAAGACUAUCUCAGCCAAGUUAAGCACCUGACCCUCAGAAUUGCUGUCACCCUGCUCUGCACGUACAAUUUGCUGAUGUUUAAACUGUCCAAUUGUGUGUAACCUCGCCAAUUCUUCCCCUGCCACCAACUAUUUUGUAUAUAAACCCCUAACUUUUGAGCCUCGUGGUCAACACCUCUGUCUCCUGUGUGAGAUACGUGUCAGCCCAGAGCUCCGACAUUAAACUACCUCGUGUGUUUGCAUCAAGAUGGUCUCUUGUGAUUCCUUGGGUGUGCAUGCCAUCUCGGGAUUUGUGAGUGGGGGUCUCCCCACUGAGGUCUUUCAAAGUGACAUGUCUAGAGUGGCAUGUCCCAAAUCCCUCCAUUCACAGUGAGUUUCCUACCUCAGAAAAAUUUUGUAAAGAAACAAAACAAGCCUUUGGCUGCACUUCACCCAGCACCUGGGAAGCAGAGACAGGCAGAUUUCUGAGAGUUCAAGACCAGCCUGGUCUACAGAGUGAGUUCCAGAACAGCCAGGGCUACACAGAGAAAUCCUGUCUCAAAACAAACAAACAAACAAACAAACAAAUAGAUUUGUUGUUUGUAGUUGUUAGCUUAUAGGUGAUUCUACUAGACUCUUCCCAGGAACCUAACCUAGCAAUAAUGGCUUACCAAGUGUAGGCUGCCUAUAAAAGGAGCUGCUACCCCUGCUCGCUCUCUUCUUCCCACAUGUUCUGUCUCUUCCCAGCAUUCCCUCUUCCCCUUCCCAUAACUCCCCUCUUCUUCAGGUCCUCACUCCUCUCCCUCCCCUGCCCACAAGCCCCCUUUAUACCAGAUCUGUUACAUAAUGUAAUUACUCAAGGCCAUGGGCCUACCAGGUACCCAC